rnacentral:rRNA from 1 species
CACGUAGGCGGCGAUUUAAGUCAGAGGUGAAAGCCCGGGGCUCAACCCCGGAACUGCCUUUGAGACUGGAUUGCUAGAAUCUUGGAGAGGCGAGUGGAAUUCCGAGUGUAGAGGUGAAAUUCGUAGAUAUUCGGAAGAACACCAGUGGCGAAGGCGGCUCGCUGGACAAGUAUUGACGCUGAGGUGCGAAAGCGUGGGGAGCAAACA